rnacentral:rRNA from 1 species
GAGUUUGAUCCUGGCUCAGAACGAACGCUGGCGGCGUGCCUAACACAUGCAAGUCGAACGUGAUCCAGAGCUUGCUCUGGUGAAAGUGGCGCACGGGUGAGUAACGCGUGGAUAACCUACCCUGGUAUCCGGGAUAACAUUCCGAAAGGGGUGCUAAUACCGGAUAAGCCCACGGGCUCUUUGGAGCUUGCGGGAAAAGGUGGCCUCUAUUUAUAAGCUACUGUAUCAGGAUGGGUCCGCGUACCAUUAGCUAGUUGGCGGUGUAACGGACCACCAAGGCGACGAUGGUUAGCUGGUCUGAGAGGAUGAUCAGCCACACUGGAACUGAGACACGGUCCAGACUCCUACGGGAGGCAGCAGUGGGGAAUUUUGCGCAAUGGGGGAAACCCUGACGCAGCAACGCCGCGUGAGUGAUGAAGGCCUUUGGGUCGUAAAGCUCUGUCAGAGGGGAAGAAAUGAUAUAGUGCUAAUACCACUUUAUCUUGACGGUACCCUCAUAGGAAGCACCGGCUAACUCCGUGCCAGCAGCCGCGGUAAUAC